rnacentral:rRNA from 1 species
AGAGUUUGAUCAUGGCUCAGAAUCAACGCUGGCGGCGCGCUUAACACAUGCAAGUCGCACGAGAAAGCAGGAGCAAUCCUGUAAGUACAGUGGCGUACGGGUGAGUAACACGUGGAUUAUCUGCCCUGGAGUGGGGAAUAACGCUGGGAAACCGGCGCUAAUACCGCAUAUUCCCGAGAGGGGAAAGCAGCAAUGCGCUCGAGGAGGAGUCCGCGGCUGAUUAGCUGGUUGGUAGGGUAACGGCCUACCAAGGCUUUGAUCGGUAGCCGGCCUGAGAGGGCACACGGCCACACUGGCACUGAAACACGGGCCAGACUCCUACGGGAGGCAGCAGUGGGGAAUCUUGCACAAUGGGGGCAACCCUGAUGCAGCGACGCCGCGUGAGCGAUGAANNCCUUCGGGGUGUAAAGCUCUUUCAGCAGGGAAGAUUAUGACGGUACCUGCAGAAGCAGCUGCGGCUAACUACGUGCCAGCAGCCGCGGUAAUACGUAGGCAGCGAGCGUUGUUCGGAGUUACUGGGCGUAAAGGGUGUGUAGGCGGUUCUUUAAGUUUGGUGUGAAAUCUCCCGGCUCAACCGGGAGGGUGCGCCGAAUACUGAGGGACUAGAGUGUGGGAGAGGAAAGUGGAAUUCCUGGUGUAGCGGUGAAAUGCGUAGAUAUCAGGAGGAACNNCCGGUGGUGUAGACGGCUUUCUGGACCAUAACUGACGCUGAGACACGAAAGCGUGGGUAGCAAACAGGAUUAGAUACCCUAGUAGUCC